UACGGAGGGUGCGAGCGUUGUCCGGAAUCACUGGGCGUAAAGGGCGCGUAGGCGGCUCGGUAAGCGUGCGGUGAAAGCCCGGGGCUCAACCCCGGGUCGGCCGUGCGAACUGCAGAGCUGGAGCACUGUAGAGGCAGGUGGAAUUCCGGGUGUAGCGGUGGAAUGCGUAGAGAUCCGGAAGAACACCUGUGGCGAAAGCGGCUCACUGGACCACAACUGACGCUGAGGCGCGAAAGCUAGGGGAGCAAACAGG
rnacentral:rRNA from 1 species